GGAUGAAUGGGAGGGACCGGAUGGUGCCAUUGUUCCUCGUGGUCGAAUUUUAAUCUACUGCACGAAGCAUGAGAUCGUAAGAAAGCUAGGAACUCCCAAGAUGAAUCGUAUCAUCUUUCCUGAUGCCAAAAAAAUCUGUGUGCCAAUAAUGCUUGAAGGUCCACCCAUGGAACAAGAUACACCUGAGAAAGAAGAUACGCCUCGCCUAAACUAUCUCAGUCCCCUCUACCGGCUGCAAGCAAUCAGAAUCAGUGCUCGUGUUCUAGUCCCAUUGACUCAUUUGCACCUAGGUCCUUGUUUAUGCAUCCACAUCCAGGUGCUUGUGACUGACCAUCUGGCCUCUCUCACUCUCCCUUGUAGAAUGCCUGAAUUUUAUUAUUGUAGUUGUAGGCGAGACCGGGUUUCUUGUGGCGCAUAAAACCCUACCAUGUCCAAAACUCCAAGUACUGUUGUGAUGAGAUGCAGGUGCCACCUUUGAUGGUGGAUGAUCAUACUGUUCUUUU